rnacentral:rRNA from 1 species
CGCGGCCUAUCAGCUUGUUGGCGAGGUAACGGCUCACCAAGGCGACGACGGGUAGCUGGUCUGAGAGGAUGGCCAGCCACAUUGGGACUGAGAAACGGCCCAGACUCCUACGGGAGGCAGCAGUGGGGAAUAUUGCGCAAUGGCCGAAAGGCUGACGCAGCGACGCCGCGUGUAGGAUGAAGCCCUUCGGGGUGUAAACUACUGUUGCCCGGGACGAACCUCCCCUUUAGAGGGGACUGACGGUACCGGGUGAGGAAGCACCGGCUAACUCCGUGCCAGCAGCCGCGGUAAUACGGAGGGUGCGAGCGUUGUCCGGAAUCACUGGGCGUAAAGGGCGCGUAGGCGGUCCGCUAAGUGUGUGGUGAAAGCCCGGGGCUCAACCCCGGGUCUGCCGUGCAAACUGUCGGACUUGAGGACUGUAGAGGCAGGUGGAAUUCCGGGUGUAGCGGUGGAAUGCGUAGAGAUCCGGAAGAAGACCGGUGGCGAAGGCGACCUGCUGGGCAGUCACUGACGCUGAGGCGCGACAGCGUGGGGAGCAAACAGGAUUAGAUACCCUGGUAGUCCACGCCGUAAACGAUGGGCACUAGGUCUCUGGAGGAGCGACCCUCUGGGGGCCGGCGCAAACGCAUGAAGUGCCCCGCCUGGGGAGUACGG